UACAGAGGGUGCAAGCGUUAAUCGGAAUUACUGGGCGUAAAGCGCGCGUAGGCGGCUGAUUAAGUCGGAUGUGAAAGCCCUGGGCUCAACCUAGGAACUGCAUUCGAUACUGAUCGGCUAGAGUAUGAGAGAGGGAGGUAGAAUUCCACGUGUAGCGGUGAAAUGCGUAGAUAUGUGGAGGAAUACCGGUGGCGAAGGCGGCCUCCUGGCUUAAUACUGACGGCUGAGGUGACGAAAGCGUGGGGAGCAAACAGG
rnacentral:rRNA from 1 species